ACGGCGAGUGAAGCGGGAUGAGCUCAAAUUUAAAAUCUGGCCGGUUUACUGGUCCGAAUUGUAGUUUAAAGAAGCGUUUUCGGUGGCAGCCUGGGUAUAAAUCCUUUGGAAUAGGGUAUCAUAGAGGGUGAGAAUCCCGUCUUUGACUCAGUGCAUGCUACUAUGUGAUACGUUUUCAAAGAGUCGAGUUGUUUGGGAAUGCAGCUCAAAAUGGGUGGUAAAUCUCAUCUAAGGCUAAAUAUUGGCGAGAGACCGAUAGCGAACAAGUACCGUGAGGGAAAGAUGAAAAGAACUUUGAAAAGAGAGUUAAACAGUGCGUGAAAUUGUUGAAAGGGAAACGUUUGACACCAGUCAUGCGGGCGGAAAAUCAGUCUUUUGUAGUGAGGAAGCGCGCGGGUUCAGACCGCAAGGCUGGCCUAUGUGUUCUCCCUGCUGCAAGUGAUGCACUUUUUCGUCUGCAGGCCAACAUCAGUUUCUUCUGCUGGACAAAACUCCAAGAGAAGGUAGCAGCUUAGACUGUGUUAUAGCUCUGGAGCGAUACAGUGGAGGAGACUGAGGUUUUCGCAGCGUGUGCUCUCGGGCAAGGCGGAUUGGGUGCUAUAAGAUCGUUCGGCGUACAAUGCAUACAUUUUGCGCCGUGUCCUUUUUAUACUCGCUCAACUCUGCUCUUCCACGCU
rnacentral:rRNA from 1 species